rnacentral:rRNA from 1 species
UAAAGAUUUAAAUAAAAAUUCCUUAGUAGUAAUAGUUAAGGUCUUGAAACUUAAAGGAUUUGGCGGUAUUUUAGUCUAUUUAGAGGAAUCUGUCCCAUAAUCGAUAAUCCACGUUGAACUUAACUUGAUUAAUAAAAAUUUGUAUACCGCCGUUUUAUGAAAAUCUUUUUAGAGGGAAAAUUUUCAGAAUAUUUAAUUUAAUAGUAUUUCAGGUCAAGGUGCAGUUUAUAUUCAAGUGGAGAUGGAUUACAAUAUAUAAAUGUAUAAUGAAUUAUAAACUGAAAUUUUUAUAUGAAGGUGGAUUUAAUAGUAAUAUAUUAGAAAUUAUUUAGAUGAUUUUAGCUCUAAAAUGUGC